rnacentral:rRNA from 1 species
UGGGGAAUUUUGGACAAUGGGCGAAAGCCUGAUCCAGCCAUGCCGCGUGAGUGAAGAAGGCCUUCGGGUUGUAAACCCCUUUCGACAGGAAAGAAAAACUGCACUAACACUGCAGUCUGACGGUACCUGUAGAAGAAGCCAUGGCCAACUCUGUGCCAGCAGCCGCGGUAAUACAGAGGUCCCAAGCGUUGUUCGGAUUCACUGGGCGUAAAGGGUGCGUAGGUGGUGGGGUAAGUCGGAUGUGAAAUCCCCGGGCUUAACUCGGGAAAGGCAUUGGAAACUACCCUGCGGGAGGUUCGGAGGGGGGACUGGAAUUCUCGGUGUAGCAGUGAAAUGCGUAGAUAUCGAGAGGAACACCAGUGGCGAAGGCGGGUCCCUGGACGACACCUGACACUGAGGCACGAAAGCUAGGGGAGCAAACA